rnacentral:rRNA from 1 species
AGUGAACGCUGGCGGCAGGCCUAACACAUGCAAGUCGAACGGUAGCACAGUAAGAGUUUGCUCUUACGGGUGGCGAGUGGCGGACGGGUGAGGAAUACAGCGGAAUCCAUUUUUUCGUGGGGGAUAACGUAGGGAAAAUUACGCUAAUACCGCAAACGACCUACGGGAGAAAGCAGGGGAUCCUGGGACCUUGCCAUAUUAAAUGCGCCGAUGUGGGUUUAGCUAGUUGGGGGGGGAAAGGCCCACCAACGCGACGAUCCGUAGCUGGUCUGAGGGGGUGAACAACCACACUGGAACUGGGAAACGGUCCAAACUCCUCCGGGGGGCAGCAGUGGGGAAUAUUGGACAAUGGGCGGAAGCCUGGUCGAGCCAUACCGGGUGGGUGAAAAAGGCCUUCGGGUUGUAAAACCCUUUUGUUGGGAAAGAAAAGCAGCAGAUUAAUACCCCGCUGUUCUGACGGUACCCAAAGAAAAAGGACCGGCUAACUUCGUG